rnacentral:rRNA from 1 species
GAUGAACGCUGGCGGCGUGCCUAAUACAUGCAAGUCGAGCGAACGGACGAGGAGCUUGCUCCUCUGAUGUUAGCGGCGGACGGGUGAGUAACACGUGGAUAACCUACCUAUAAGACUGGGAUAACUUCGGGAAACCGGAGCUAAUACCGGAUAAUAUUUUGAACCGCAUGGUUCAAAAGUGAAAGACGGUCUUGCUGUCACUUAUAGAUGGAUCCGCGCUGCAUUAGCUAGUUGGUAAGGUAACGGCUUACCAAGGCAACGAUGCAUAGCCGACCUGAGAGGGUGAUCGGCCACACUGGAACUGAGACACGGUCCAGACUCCUACGGGAGGCAGCAGUAGGGAAUCUUCCGCAAUGGGCGAAAGCCUGACGGAGCAACGCCGCGUGAGUGAUGAAGGUCUUCGGAUCGUAAAACUCUGUUAUUAGGGAAGAACAUAUGUGUAAGUAACUGUGCACAUCUUGACGGUACCUAAUCAGAAAGCCACGGCUAACUACGUG